rnacentral:rRNA from 1 species
UACGUAGGUGGCAAGCGUUGUCCGGAUUUACUGGGCGUAAAGAGCGCGCAGGCGGUCGUUCAAGUCGCGUGUGAAAGCCCCCGGCUCAACUGGGGAGGGUCACGCGAUACUGAUCGACUCGAAGGCAGGAGAGGGUAGUGGAAUUCCCGGUGUAGUGGUGAAAUGCGUAGAUAUCUGGAGGAACACCGGUGGCGAAGGCGGCAUCCUGGACCGACACUGACACUGAGGAGCGAAAGCCAGGGGAGCAAACGGG